GCAUCGGUAGUUCAAUGGUAGAAUGCUCGUUUCCCAAUUGAGUGACUCGGUUCGAUUUCGAUUCCCAUCGAUGCA